rnacentral:lncRNA from 1 species
GCCGCGGCGGCUCCCACAACUUGCCUCGAGGAGCGGGGUCGGCGCUCCCCGCGCCUCUCCGCUCGCCUUUCUUGGGCCACAAACGUGCAGGGGCUCUUUCUGCGGAACCGUCACCGCCCAGAUGGUGUGGGUUGUUUUUGUUUGCUUCUCUUUCAUCUCCACAGUUUAGAAUGCUCUUAGGCUUUUUUUUUUUUAAUCUCCUGAGCGGAAGAACCUGAGGGAUUGUUGAGGCGACGGGAAGAAAGGGGGGGGGAGGAGUAGGGGUGCCGCUGGGGCUACGUGUGAAUUGGUGCUUAAGUGACACGACCGAAGGGGCACGGACCGGGCCAAGUGCCUCCGGCCCGGGCGGCUCUCGGAGCAGCGGCGAGCCCGCUUGCGGCACGGGUUCAGACGCGGGAGUCGGCGGCCCGAGACCCAGGCUGGGGAACUAUUGGGAUUGGAAAGAGUGACCCACAGAUGUGUUUACCUGUUGCCUGUAACACGUGGUUUUCAGCAUCCAUUCUUUCAGCUACUGGGACAAAAUCAGAAGGAAAAAGCGUAUGGAACACUGAGGAACACUCAACAUAUGGAGCAUUCAUUUAUAAGGGGAGCCACCGGGGCUAGACUCCUCCAGUCUGAUCCAAUUCUUCUGAGCCAAGAUAAACCCCAUCUUAAUCAGGCGUGGGAACUGUAGGCCUUCCCUAUGAGAAAGCUGGUGGAACUGUAUGUAGGCUGGUAAGAUACCUACCCGGUUAUCAGUGGAAGCUUCUGCC